GUGAAUCAUCGAAUCUUUGAACGCACAUUGCGCCCGCUAGUAUUCUAGCGGGCAUGCCUGUUCGAGCGUCAUUUCAACCCUCAAGCCCUGCUUGGUGUUGGGGCCCCUACGAAGGUCGUAGGCCCUGAAAGGAAGUGGCGGGCUCGCUGCAACUCCGAGCGUAGUAGAAUCCUAUUCUCGCUAGGGAGGCUUGCGGCGCGGCUCCGGCCGUUAAAGACCCAAUCUUUAACCCAAGGUUGACCUCGGAUCAGGUAGGAAUACCCGCUGAACUUAAGCAUAUCAAUAAGCGGAGGA
rnacentral:misc_RNA from 1 species